rnacentral:tRNA from 1 species
GGCCCAGUGAUCUAGGGGUAUGGUUCCUGCCUUGUGUGCAGGAGGUCCCGGGUUCAAAUCCCGGCUGAGCCC